UAAUAGUGUAUAUUAAAGUUGUUGCAGUUAAAAAGCUCGUAGUUGAAUGUUGGUGUCGAACGAGCGGUCAGCUUCGGCUGUACUGCUCUCUCGACUCCUUCCUUCUGUGGACUACGUCGCACUUUACUGUGUGGCGCUAGGACGCAGAUCGUUUACUGUGAAAAAAUUAGAGUGUUCAAAGCAGGCCGUACGCUUGAAUACAUUAGCAUGGAAUAAUGGAAUAGGACGUCGGGCCUAUUUUGUUGGUUCUAGGACCGUCGUAAUGAUUAAUAGGGACAGUUGGGGCCGUUUAUACUCCGUAGUCAGAGGUGAAAUUCUUGGAUUUACGGAAGAUAAACUACUGCGAAAGCAUUCGGCAAGGAUGUUUUCGUUAA
rnacentral:rRNA from 1 species